rnacentral:rRNA from 1 species
GGCGGCAGGCUUAACACAUGCAAGUCGAGCGGAGAGAGGUAGCUUGCUACUGAUCUUAGCGGCGGACGGGUGAGUAAUACUUAGGAAUCUGGCUAUUAGUGGGGGACAACAUUUCGAAAGGGAUGCUAAUACCGCAUACGUCCUACGGGAGAAAGCAGGGGAUCUUCGGACCUUGCGCUAAUAGAUGAGCCUAAGUCGGAUUAGCUAGUUGGUGGGGUAAAGGCCUACCAAGGCGACGAUCUGUAGCGGGUCUGAGAGGAUGAUCCGCCACACUGGGACUGAGACACGGCCCAGACUCCUACGGGAGGCAGCAGUGGGGAAUAUUGGACAAUGGGGGGAACCCUGAUCCAGCCAUGCCGCGUGUGUGAAGAAGGCCUUAUGGUUGUAAAGCACUUUAAGCGAGGAGGAGGGUACUGGUAUUAAUACUACCAGGUACUGGACGUUACUCGCAGAAUAAGCACCGGCUAACUCUGUGCCAGCAGCCGCGGUAAUACAGAGGGUGCGAGCGUUAAUCGGAUUUACUGGGCGUAAAGCGUGCGUAGGCGGCUAAUUGAGUCGGAUGUGAAAUCCCCGAGCUUAACUUGGGAAUUGCAUUCGAUAC